rfam:Populus trichocarpa scaffold_4_contig_327, whole genome shotgun sequence.
UCUAGAACUCGAGAUAAGGGCUAAACACUAAACAGUGUCUGGGCUGCAGGACAGAUUUUGACUUAGAAUUAGAACUUGAAAACGGUCCUUUUGAAUCUUGGACUCUUCAUGAAAGUUUUAGGCCUAUGCCUUAGCUUUUUAUC